rnacentral:rRNA from 1 species
UACGUAGGGGGCAAGCGUUAUCCGGAUUUACUGGGUGUAAAGGGAGCGUAGACGGCAGGGCAAGUCUGGAGUGAAAGGCAGUGGCUCAACCAUUGUAUGCAUUGGAAACUGGUAGACUUGAGUGCAGGAGAGGAGAGUGGAAUUCCAUGUGUAGCGGUGAAAUGCGUAGAUAUAUGGAGGAACACCGGUGGCGAAAGCGGCUCUCUGGUCUGUAACUGACGCUGAGGUUCGAAAGCGUGGGUAGCAAACAGG